rnacentral:rRNA from 1 species
UAGGGAAUCUUCGGCAAUGGGGGGAACCCUGACCGAGCAACGCCGCGUGAGUGAAGAAUGUUUUCGGAUCGUAAAGCUCUGUUGUUAAGGAAGAACGAGUGUGAGAAUGGAAAGUUCAUGCUGUGACGGUACUUAACCAGAAAGGGACGGCUAACUACGUUCCAGCAGCCGCGGUAAUACGUAGGUCCCGAGCGUUGUCCGGAUUUAUUGGGCGUAAAGCGAGCGCAGGCGGUUAGAAAAGUCUGAAGUGAAAGGCAGUGGCUCAACCAUUGUAGGCUUUAGAAGCUGUUUAAAUUGAGUGCAGAAGGGGAGAGUGGAAUUCCAGGUGUUGCGGUGAAAUGCGUAGAUAUAUGGAGGAACACCGGUGGCGAAAGCGGCUCUCUGGUCUGUAACUGACGAUGAGGCUCGAAAGCAUGGGGAGCGAACAGG